GAUGAACGCUAGCGGCAGGCUUAACACAUGCAAGUCGAGGGGUAUUGGUUUUCGGACCAAGAGACCGGCGCACGGGUGCGUAACGCGUAUGCAAUCUACCUUUUGCAGAGGGAUAGCCCCAGAGAAAUUUGGAUUAAUACCUCAUAGUAUAGUACUUUGGCAUCAAGGAACUAUUAAAGUCACAACGGCAAAAGAUGAGCAUGCGUCCCAUUAGCUAGUUGGUAAGGUAACGGCUUACCAAGGCUACGAUGGGUAGGGGUCCUGAGAGGGAGAUCCCCCACACUGGUACUGAGACACGGACCAGACUCCUACGGGAGGCAGCAGUGAGGAAUAUUGGACAAUGGGCGCAAGCCUGAUCCAGCCAUGCCGCGUGCAGGAUGACGUCCUAUGGAUUGUAAACUGCUUUUA
rnacentral:rRNA from 1 species